rnacentral:rRNA from 1 species
GACGUAGGGCGCGAGCGUUGUCCGGAUUUAUUGGGCGUAAAGAGCUCGUAGGCGGCUUGUCGCGUCGAAUGUGAAAACCCACGGCUCAACUGUGGGCUUGCAUUCGAUACGGGCAGGCUAGAGUUCGGUAGGGGAGACUGGAAUUCCUGGUGUAGCGGUGAAAUGCGCAGAUAUCAGGAGGAACACCGGUGGCGAAGGCGGGUCUCUGGACGGUGACUGACGCUGAGACGCGAAAGCGUGGGGAGCAAACAGG